AUUUACUUAGUAUAUAAGUACACUUGACUUCCAAUCAAUUAGAUUGAUAAUCCAUCAAAGUAAAUA
rnacentral:tRNA from 1 species